CUCUCGCGAAAAAAAUAAACAACCCGAAGCAAUCGUACGCCAUAGAAUCUCUCCUGUCUCUCCUUCUCCCCCAUGGAAAACAAAUCAAUCUCUCUCAAAUUGGAGUGCAAGUUGAGGAAUAGAUCUGGUGCACGUUCUAUUCCUCAUCUAUCAGAUCGAGACUAACCAAGCCCAUAAGGCUAGCUUAUAAAUUAAAUCGACAGCCUAACGCGGACAAUCUCAACAUCAAGAAGGCUCCUGUAGGUUGUCAACAUCGUCGCUGGUGAAGCUUCUCCUGUGAGGUGCGGUAAUAAGGACCAAAUUGAUGAACAUUCUUUGGGAUGUGUUGUCAUAGUAAUAUCAAUAACUGUCGGAAAACUGAACGGUUUGUAUUUAUAUUAACAAUGGGUAAGCAUUGCUCUGUGUGUCUUUAUUCUGUACAUAAUUUAAUAUCAAUUGCAUGCAGAGUACUCGCUCUCAUCUACAGGUACCUGAAACAACAGAGCUUCAAACGAGGUGAAACAGAUUUUCUACAGUAAUUUGAAUAAAUCAUAUUCUACCACGUACACAUGGUUUACGACUCGACGAGUCAUUCCGAGAUUGAGAUCAUAGACUAAUCGACACUGAAGUUGCGACUCAUAGACUAGGCGACACUGAAGUUAGUCGGCCCUGGAGUUGAGACUCAUAGACUAGUCUUGACUAGUCCUUCGACUCAUAAUCCAUGCACAUACAUGGAUACUUAUCUCAUGCAAAAACAGGUAUCGCUUGCAAGAUGAUAUUGCAGAGGAAAUAGAGCUAGAGAUAUGUGAUCUGAGUACAGCAACAACUUGCACCAUGUUUGA